rnacentral:rRNA from 1 species
CCAUGCCGCGUGUAUGAAGAAGGCCUUCGGGUUGUAAAGUACUUUCAGUUGUGAGGAAGGGGGUAGUGUUAAUAGCGCUAUCUCUUGACGUUAGCAACAGAAGAAGCACCGGCUAACUCCGUGCCAGCAGCCGCGGUAAUACGGAGGGUGCGAGCGUUAAUCGGAAUUACUGGGCGUAAAGCGCAUGCAGGUGGUUCAUUAAGUCAGAUGUGAAAGCCCGGGGCUCAACCUCGGAACUGCAUUUGAAACUGGUGAACUAGAGUACUGUAGAGGGGGGUAGAAUUUCAGGUGUAGCGGUGAAAUGCGUAGAGAUCUGAAGGAAUACCAGUGGCGAAGGCGGCCCCCUGGACAGAUACUGACACUCAGAUGCGAAAGCGUGGGGAGCAAACAGGAUUAGAUACCCUGGUAGUCCACGCCGUAAACGAUGUCUACUUGGAGGUUGUGGCCUUGAGCCGUGGCUUUCGGAGCUAACGCGUUAAGUAGACCGCCUGGGGAGUACGGUCGCAAGAUUAAAACUCA